UACGUAGGGAGCGAGCGUUGUCCGGAAUCAUUGGGCGUAAAGAGCGCGUAGGUGGAUCAAUUAGUCUGCUGUGAAAGUCAAAGGCUCAACCUUUGAAAGCCGGUGGAUACUGUUGAUCUAGAGUACGGAAGAGGCGAGUGGAAUUCCUGGUGUAGCGGUGGAAUGCGCAGAUAUCAGGAGGAACACCAAUAGCGAAGGCAGCUCGCUGGGACGU
rnacentral:rRNA from 1 species